rnacentral:rRNA from 1 species
GACGAACGCUGGCGGCGUGCUUAAACACAUGCAAGUCGAGCGGUAAGGCCCUUUCGGGGGUACACGAGCGGCGAACGGGUGAGUAACACGUGGGUGACCUGCCCUCAGCUCUGGGAUAAGCCUGGGAAACUGGGUCUAAUACCGGAUAUGACUUCGCAUCGCAUGGUGUGGGGUGGAAAGUUUUUCGGCUGGGGAUGGGCCCGCGGCCUAUCAGCUUGUUGGUGGGGUGAUGGCCUACCAAGGCGACGACGGGUAGCCGGCCUGAGAGGGCGACCGGCCACACUGGGACUGAGACACGGCCCAGACUCCUACGGGAGGCAGCAGUGGGGAAUAUUGCGCAAUGGGCGGAAGCCUGACGCAGCGACGCCGCGUGGGGAUGAC